GAACGCCGUAUGCGGUGAAAGUCGCACGUACGGUGUGGAGGAGGGGAAAAGGUAGCGAUCACAUCAAAGCCUUACCUAUUCCUAU
rfam:Paenibacillus riograndensis SBR5 isolate SBR5(T) genome assembly, chromosome: I